UAAUAUUCUGGGUGGACCACGGUUUAAUUUGGGAGGGCCCAGGCCUACCCUUGGCAACAUCACUGUCUCAGACUCAGGUGCUUUUCAAUAGCUGACAACACAGUGUUUUAGAGUUUUCUGUUCUCUGACAUGACUGAAGAACAGCAAUCAAGCCAUUUAAAGCCAACAUUAAAUAACCCAGCCUACCAGUUUGUGAUGUAUUUAUUUAGUUUCACACGGGCGUUGCCGUUUGAAGUCCGCACUCAUAGCGGCGAGUGACAGGCCGUGCUUUUUGAAACAGUGCUUAUCAGGCCAGAUAUGAGCAACAGUCGUGCUGGUUUACGUGUUUGAGGUAUUGUCAACACUUCCGGAUUUCGCACAUAAAGAAGAAUGCGCAGACCGGCAACACAGCCUUCACCAAGGAGGACAACGACAGCGAUGACCGGGACGAUCCUACGCGCACUUUUCCUUGUGUUGCAGAUGUUUUUAGUAUUUAAUACGUCUGCGGAAUCUCGUCAUUCUGAAGAAAAAUGUCCUACAAAAAAGGAAAUACCAUCAUGUAAGAGUAUACUCACGUCCACGGACAAGGAAUAUACAUACCAGGUGCUGCCGAGCUUCUAUGCAUACUUGAACAUGGAUUGCGAACAUGGAUGGUAUCAUCAGAAUGGAACAUUUAUUGUUGAUUCGACUGUGCAUGGCAGUGGGGAGAAGUUAGGAUGUGUCGUGCAUAUGACACCUCAGAACCUGACAGUCAGUACUUGUAUGAACCUUCAAUGGCAAAUUCACUGUGAACAAAUUCAGUAUAACUGUACAGUCAAUUAUAUAGAACAAGAAAAUAAACAAUCCUGAUCUUCUUCUGCAAACUGAUGUAUUUUGCAAGAGUUACACAUCUGUCCAUUACAUUAUAAGUUGAUGGUAAUUUUUCCAGAUGUACACUACCAGUCAAAAGUUUUGAAACACUUGACUGAAAUGUUUCUCAUGAUCUUAAAAAUCUUUUGCUCUGAAGGCGUAUGCUUAAAUGUCUGAAAUUAGUUUUGUAGACAAAAAUAUAAUUGUGUCACCAUAUUAAUUUAUUUCAUUAUAAAUCUAAAAUUUAAUAAAAAAAUAAAUACAAAAACAUUUUUGAAAUUGAUGACUUGGACCAAAUAAUAAAGAAAAGCAGCCAAUAAGUGCCCAACAUAGAUGGGAACUCCUUCAAUACUGUUUAAAAAGCAUCCCAUGGUGAUAUCUCAAGAAGUUGGUUGAGAAAAUGUCAAGAUUACAUUUCUGCAAAUUCUAAGCAAAGGGUGACUACUCUGAAGAUGCUAAAAUAUAACACAGUUUUGAUUUAUUUUGGAUUUUGUUUAGUCACAACAUAAUUCCCAUUGUUCCAUUUAUAUUAUUCCAUAGUUUUGAUGACUUUACUAUUAUUCUAAAAUGUGAUAAAAAAUUAUAAUAAAGAAUGAGUAAGUGUUUCAAAACUUUUGACCAGUAGUGUAUGUGGUGCAUCAUCAUUUUCAUCAGUAUGUUUAAGAUAUGUUAAAGUGUAUGUAAAAUCAUAAUGACAUACAGUAUAAAAGAGAUCAGUCAAAUAGAAUUAUUGAUAAAGGUAAAAAAUAAUCAUUCAUAGAUUUGGAAGUAACAUAACAUCCUGAACCUGAAACCUACUGUAUAUAAAGUGUGCUUUUGUGUUUGUGCCUUAAGUUUUACAACAAGAAACAUCAGUGAAUGUGCCUCCAGAGGACAAACAAGGUUCACCUCACUGGGGGAUUGCUUUAAUUGUGUUGGGAUUGGUGAUUGUUGGUUUGAUUGUUGGUGGUUCCAUUUGGUUCUGGUGUCAGAAUUCUGGAAACAGGACACGUUACAAUGUGGCUGGACAAAGCAAUCAGGCGUAGUGGGUGAAGAUCUGGACUGGUAACCAAAAAGGGCGACCUAUGAUCUUGAGCAAAACACUUAACCCCAUGUUGCUCUACGGGGAUUAGCCAUGUAACAAGUGAACUGUAAGUCACUUUGGUUAAGAGUGUUUGCUAAAAUUCCUAACAUAUAAUUUCUUUAUUUGUACUAUUUCAUUUUCUUUUAUAACAAUGGGCGUCUUUGUAAAUUGUUACUGAUAUAUUGUUAACUCUGUCAUUCUAUUGUUUUAGUAGCAUUUAGAGUCUCACAGCUUUAUAUAUUGCAGUGCUUUGUGUUUGGCCUUCAGUCCACAUGUAAUCAUGACUCUGUUGCUACACCAAAGGCAGAACUGACACAAAAAAAAAUUUUUUUUUUAAAUAAUAGUGAAUGAAUAAAUGAAUGAAAGAAUGUUAUAUUUCAUUCAUUCAAUAAUAGUAAUAAUAAUGUUUUGAUAUACGUAUAUAACAUGCACUGAUUAUACAGAAGCUAAGGGGGUCAUGUAUGUUAACUUUAUCUAUUAAUAUAUAUAUAUAUAUAUAUAUAGCUCAUAAACAUAUAUAUGUAAUAUUACAUGGCACAGAUUUCUUGAGAAUGUAAUAAUGUAUAUGAGGGAGAAAGGAAACUUAUGUUUAGCUUUGCUGCCAUUGUCCAGACAUUGGCUUUGUUUAUACUGGGUAGGGCUAUGGUCUCGUUCUGCGGAGGCAAAGGAAAUGUACAAUGAGGGCAAGUAUUUUAAGUUUUUGCUGUGGAAGCAAAAUGCAUUGAAAUGCUGCUCCAGUGAGAACACAAAUCUAAUGCAUUAUUCAUUAUAUCCACUUAACACCUGCCUCAGAACAGGCCUGGAAUACAGUAUUUACACUAGUGCUUAAAAACAAUAAAUGUAAAUCUGGGAAACUGUAAACGUAAAUUAAAUCAAGCUUAAAGGUGAAGUGUCUCAUUUCUGUGCCUGUAGCGGAACCAAGCGGAACUGCAAAUAUUAUGAUUGUUUUCAAAACAGGCAUUCUAAACAUUCCCCUCGUCAUCCAUUGCUUUGAAAUACAAAUAGUCCCAUCCCAAACACCUCCACACUUAGUUAAUGUUGCCCUGUUGGGCUGGUUAGGAUGCUCAAACGAGCAGAACAUGCUUUGAAAGUGCCACACUUUUUACACUUAUCGGGAAAAUCAACAUAACAAUAAAUUGUUACGUUGUCUCUGCAUAUUAAGCUGGGACAGGGUAAAGUAGGCUAUUUUAACAUAAUGGGUCUGUUCCAAAACAUAGUGAACAUCCUCUUGAGACAGCAUUUUAAGACAUCAUAGGCGUGCUCCCAACGCAAAUGCUGGUCCAAAAGUUAGGGAUCUCAACUAUGCUGCUUCAUAAGAUAUCUUGUUUUGGCCAAAUUCCAAGAUAUAAUCAAAUGUAUCCUUCCCCAGGUGUGAUGAGCUCAGCGGAAAAAUAAAUCCAAGAUGGCGGACAAAGCAAGAUACAUUUUGAUUAUUAAUAUACUUCUAAUCCAUUCACUACUGAAAAGUAUCGCUAAAUAACAGUUUAAUACAGGGCCAGCCAGCGGGUCUGUGGGGCCCUAGGCGAAAUUAUGAAACUGCAAGUAUGAUAAUUACUAGGUAACAUUUUACAAUAAGGUUUGCAUUAGGUAUCAUUAACAAUGUAAAAUACAAUUUUUCAACAUUUAUUAAUCUUGGCUAAUGUCAAUUUAUAAAAAUAAAUUUUUUUAUUGUUUGUCCAUGUUAGUUCAUAUUGUAUUAACUAAUGUUAAAAAUGGACUAGUAUAUGUAGAAAUUAACAUGAAAUAAGAUUAUUAAGUAUUGUUCAUUGUUAGUUCAUGUUAAAUAAUGUUUACAAAUACAACCAUAAGUGUUACCCAUUAAAGUUACACUAAAUAAGAGCCUCGCGUGUGCUGCGUGUGAAAUCGGUCACUUAUGAGGCAUCAUUUCAGUAAGGAUGCGGCCCAUGUAAGCCGGAGACAACAAGGCAGCUUACUAAGUUUUUGGAACAGACCCAUUGAAAAAUUAUACACUUCACCUUUAAUUAAAGGAGAAAAUUAUGUUAUCAAGAAGAUACUCAGACUAUCAAUACAAUACACAGAGUAAAGCAUUUGUACUAGUAUAUUGAUAAAUAUAUAUAUAUAUAUAUAUAUACACACACAUAAAUGAAUGAUUAUAUCGCUCUGUGCUAUGCUAUCUGCUGAUACUCACUACAUUGAGGAAGCAAUACUUUUCUUUUCUUUUUUAUAGUCAAUAAUGAAUAUCUAUUUAUUUCAUUUAAGAUGUGGUUACAUUUUAAAUAUAUAAUACUAUGUGCAGUAUUAUGAUAAUGAUAAACCUUAAGUCAGUGUAAAAGUCAGUUGGAUCUACAGUAUACUGAUCCAGUGUCAGCUGCCAAUUUGUUGUGAAAUAAAAUUAGCACUGCUAAUUCUGUUAAAAUUAUUUUUCCUUUUUGCAAAGCUUUUUAAGUAUAACAUGACAUUACUAUGCAGUCUCUUUUUAAUGUUUUCUGCCUUUAUUUUCACCACUUCAGUUCCUGUCAAUUUAUUUUCUGUCAAUAAAAUCUGUUGAGACCA